rnacentral:tRNA from 1 species
AUAGUAGUAGCUCAGUUGGUUAAAGCGCUGCACCGGAAUCGCAGGGCCGUAGGUUCAAUUCCUACCUCCUGGU